UUUAGGGUCCUACUUCUAUUGGUCUAUACCCUAAAAGCACCAGAUCCCGUCUGAUCUUGGAAACAAAACAUGGUCAGCUCUGGUUAGUACUUGGAUAGGAGACCACCAAUGAAUACCUGAUGCUGUGAAUU
rnacentral:rRNA from 1 species